UUUGUUCCCCUUUUCAUCCCUAGCAUAACACGUGUUGACGAAGGAUUCGUUCUGAUCCCCUUAGCCAGGACAGUUCCUUCGGAGGUACUUGUAGUUAUCCCUAGCAGGUUGGCUUACAACUCAUCCCCAGUAGGGUUGCUCACAGCAGAUUAUCCCCAGUAUGAUCGCCUACAGCCUAUCCCCAGUGGAGUUGCCUGAUCAGAGCCUGAUAAUUUGUUUCCCUUAUGUAUUGGAAAGUUUCCUCUAAGUUGAG
rnacentral:lncRNA from 1 species